UGCUCAACCCUGUGGUGACAUUUAGAUACCUAGAAAUUCCUUCUUUCGGCAGUGACAUAUAUCAAGAAGGCUGACAGCUCUGAACAGUAGUUAAAGUGAGAGAGAAUUUAUCAGCCUUCCUAUUAACUACAAAUUUAUGGGAUGUUUGAAAGUUGCAAGUGAACUCUUAGGGCCAUGUUAACGAAGUGGCCUUUAACUUGAAAGGGAUGUGUAGCUGAACUGUAUCUUUGAGACUUGGCAUUUUAAUGAAGUUUCAUCCCAUUUGAACAGAAGCAAGGAGGACCAGCAAAAAUGCCAUGUCUGCUAGACAUCUGAUGAUUUUUGUCCUGGGAGAGGAAAGGUUGGGCUAUGUCAUAGCCCACACAUUUUUAGCCAUUUAUCUGUCCUAUCCAGUACCCAAAGGCAUUCAUGCUUCCAGCACUGCCUACUUCAGAUUCUCCAGUGUGCCACCAGUAUCUAAGGAUAAAGACAUUAUGGACAUAUCCAAACUUAUGACACCGCAUUACCAAUUCAUUUACUUUCCUGACAUUUCCAAGGGAUCUUCUACCUUUGUGACCUUUAGAACAAUAGAUUAUUUAUGUAGGUAUUUCAAAAGAUGUACAGUGCAUUAAAAUUACUGAAGCAUUUUGUGGGCUGGUGGGGGCCCAGAGAAGCCUCAAGCGUAAGGAAAAUAGUGUUCCUCUUUUAGUUACUUUUGAAACGGCUUAAAUCAUCUACAGAAUAAAGGUUACACUAAUAAAUGUCUCAUUUGUUUUAAGUGUUCUGAAAUGUGAACACUUCUGUGGAACAUAUAAAAUCAUAUACGCUAAAUGGGCUGUGGUGAAUACAGUGAGUAGAGGUAAUUUCUUUUCCAGUUGCUCCUUCUCCUUGACCAAUUUAAAACUGGAGUUGAGUUAGGAGUAAGGAAAAUAGAGGCAGAUGUUGUUAUCUCUGAGGUUGGAAUUUUCAAAAUGUAUGGUUACCAAAGGGGAAGGGUGGGGAGGGGAAGGAUGGACUGGGGGUCUGGGAAUGGCAAAUGCAAACUUUCGUAUAUGGAAUGGUUGAUCAACGCAGACCUGCUGUACGCACAGGGAAAUCUAUUCAUUGUUCCGUGAUAACAUAUAUAGGAAAGGAUAUGUGUAUAUACAUAGCUGAAAGACUUUGCUAUAUAUAGCAGAAAUUAACACAUUUCAAAUUAACUGUACUUUAAUUAAAAAAUAAGAAUUUUUAAAUAUCUGGUUUUCAUUAACUAGUGUGGCACAAAGGGAUGCCAUGAAGUGAACAUGCUAUUUUUUCCAACAUACUCUUUUAUCAUUUUCUUCUGUACUUACUAUGGUUGAGAAAUACAAAACUAUUUAUAGUUCCCCAAACACGUCAUGCCUUUGUGCAUGGUUUGUCUAAAAUGUCUAUUCCCUUGUCCAUCUUGUCAUCUUCCAUUUGUCCUUCAAAACCCAACUGCUCUAAGAAGCCCAACUGCUAUGUAACUAAUCAAAGUCUUCCAUACAUCAAUUCUGGAUGUGUAUUUUCAUCCUGUAUACAGUAUUGCUUACCCAUAUGGAUUCAGAAGUCAGACUGCUAGAUUACAAACCCUGACUUUACUGUUUAUUUAUUGCAGCAUCCUGGCUAAGCUUCUUAACCUGUAUGUGCCUUUUAUCCAUAUAAAAAAUGAAAUUAUCAAUUCCACAUGGUUUUUAUCAAUAUUCUCAAGAUAUAUACAUGAAAAUAAAUUUACAGCACAACUUGAUACAAAGUAUUCAGUAAAUGUUCUUUCUCAUUUUAUCUCUACAUUACAUAUAUCACACAGAACAAGAAAUAUGUGAAAGAUACAAAGAUUUUUCACAUUAAGAUCAUUUUAAUUAUUAGUAUCUUAACUGGUAUAUAAUGGUUCUUCUGAUACACUGAUACUCAAGACCAUGUAGCUGAUUAUUUGGCAUAGUCUGGCAACAGUUCUGUCUGGCUUUCAGCCUUCAUUAAACUCUCAAGGAAUGUUGACCUCAGUUUCUUGCUUUCUCACACAAAGGAAGAUUCAAUCAGCAAAAAUCCCUGUAUUAUAUUCUUCCUCAAAUAUUAUAAAAUGGAGUUUUAAGUCUUUGGAAUGUUUUGAUUCUACCACAGUUCUAAAAUCAAAGGACUUAAAUGUUCUAGGAAAUUGGUCACCACUACAGUAAACAUAAUAAAAACCAAUAAAAAUUAGCCUAAUAUUUUUUCAUGAAUGCCUUCAUUCAACCAAUUUUUCAGAAAUCAGGCACUGUGCUAAAACAGUGAUUCAUAACAAAUGUACACAGGAAGCCUAGAGUUACCCAAAGCCUCCUUUGUUACUUAGUAGAGGUCCUGUUUUUAGGUAACAAAAUGAAAAGCUAGGAGAAAGGCCAGCUGAGCUAUGAGACAGAAAACAAAAGAGCUUUCAAGUCCAGCCAUGUUAUUUCUCAUUUUCUAAAUUCUACCAAAUCACAGUUAUGAUUACUAUUAGUAGUAAAAUAGUAGCAGCAGGACUUUGCUUGUACUAGUUUAGAUAGGUUCUGUGAACUUGCAAAUGGAAGAUUACUGCUCAUACACCAGACACGUUUCAUCAUCCAUAAAAGGGUCAUAAUAUGCAAAACAGUACUAAUCAAAGGAUCGAGUUCUUUUAUUCUUCGAAGUAUGUUUCAAAUACUUAUCUUACACCUGUUGCCACUUGAGACACUGGGAUACAGAAGUGAAGUACAGUUAAGUCUGUACCCUCAUGGACCUCACAUUCCAGGUGUUUGGGAUGAUCCAGGGGUCUGAUACAUGGUAGAACUACAACAAAGAUAGAUCCUUUCCCUUUUACCCCUCUGAUGUCAUCUGAGUAACCCAGUGCCUUUGAUAGGACUCUCAAGAAAAUACAAUCUGACAUUUACGAAAAUGGGAAGUUUCAGCCAUGAAGGUAGAACACAACAUCUAUCUUCAGUUAUUUGACAAGAUCCCACAUAGCAAGAAAUUAAAAUGCCUUACAGGAUUACGAAAAAAGAACCAAGAAUAAUUAGAGGCACUUAUGUCUUAAUGUAAGAAAUUCUUUCAGUAAAAUCAUGCUUUUCAUGAGGUCAGGGACCGUAUCUGUUUUAUUUCCCAUUAACACUAAGCCUAGGGCAUGGUGAGCUUCAGUAGAUUUCUGUUGAGCCAAAUAAUGAAGAGUUAGUAGACUGAGUAAAGGAAUGAUAUAGUAAGUUGUUUCAUAUAAGUUUUAUCUUUCCAUUCACUUGAGCUUUUCAAAGAAUCUGUGCACCCUCCCCACUAAAAGUCCUCAGCAAGUAGAAUUAAAGAAUCUGAUUGGGCUCAGUGACCUUUAGGGUCCUAUUUGCCAUUCAAUGCUCAGAUCCUUUUUCUAUGAUUCUAUACUUCAUUAUGGGUUAUUUUAUUUUUUCAAUUUGCAAUGAAGCUCCUCUCCAUUUACAUCAACAUUACUGUGUUCUGCUCUAUUAGUCUCUUAAUCUCUUUGCUAAUUCCCAUAUGUUGCUGCAUCAUUUAAUUAAAGGCUGCACUGCCAUGUGGCUGAAACCCAAUGUCCUUUCCUGAAGGGAGCACACUCAGGCUUGUGGGAAUGUAGUGGUUCUCAUUCUGCUGGAAUUUUAUGAAAGCUGGGCUAUACAUUUCUAUUUUUUUUUUCUGAAAGAAAAUUCAUGCUGGUAUCAAAAAGAAUCAAAUUUCCAGAAAUGUUGACAUUUGCUCUUUAUUCAUUUUCAGAUAGGGAAAGUAGGGUAAAAAUAGUACUCCAAAACAUUGAUACUAUGUUUUGAAAGUACCUCACAGGAGACUUUUACCCAAUCAAGGGCUUAGUCCUUACUAAUGGCAUGACUUCAGCAAUGACCAUAGCUUCUUAGAACGUGAGAUUUCUUGCCAAUCAAAUGAUGAAAUUCAGUUCUCUCUUACUAUUUAUAGGAUACUUUUCUACAGUUUUUCAAAAAUUAAAUCUAAUUCUAAGACCAUUCUAUAAAGUAGUUUUGAAGUUGUGUUUGCAUUGUAAUUUAUAGAAGAUCUAUUUUACAGUUUUAGGAGGUUAAUAAAAUCUUUUGACUUGUAUACUAUAAAAUGCUCUGUAAAUUGUUGGGAAAAAAAACCUUAAUUACAAAAUCCUUAAGAAUUACCUAACCUACAUUAAUCUUAUACCAAACAUAUCUGAUGAAACAGCUCAUGAUUUUUUUCUAUACACAGGCAAUAUUUUUUUAACAUGAUGCUCUUUAUUAUCAGCCAGAAAGAACAUCUAUUGUGUUUCCAUGACAUUU
rnacentral:lncRNA from 1 species